GAACGCGGAUUAGCAACAACCAAUAAAGUUUUCUUUAUGGGGGUUGCGGACAUAUCAUAACGAAGAGGUAUCGUAAUUGAAGAGGUUUGGAAAGACCCACCACAGAAGGUAAUAGUCCUGGAUGUUAAACGAGAAGACUUUAGAUAUGAGCCAGAGUACCACGGGACACGUGAAACCCUGUGGGAAGCAGGAGGGACCACCCUC
rnacentral:rRNA from 1 species